rnacentral:lncRNA from 1 species
GGGUUUCCCUGCUAUGUUUUGUCACACAUCAUUGCUGGGAGAGUUCAGUGCUAUCCAAGUGACUCCCCCGGGAGAGGACAACUGGAAAUUUAUGCCUGGUGUCUUCCUGGACUCCGACCUAUGCACCUUUUUCCUUGGAUGAUUUUAACCUGUCUCCUUUUGCUGCAAUGAACCAUAACCAUGAGUAUAUCAGCUUUUCUAAUUUUUGUGAGUCCCUCAAGUGAAUUAUCAAACCUAAGGUAGUUUUGGGACCCCCAUCACAGAGAGUCAAACAGGGGCAGGGCAAGAAGAGCUGCUUUUCCUGGAAGGCUAAUGAGUCUGAACUUCGCCCUGGAGGUAAUCGUUAUAGUAACUCCAGGCUCUAACCUGGAGCUGACAUGAUAAGGUCAAAUGUACACCUCUAGAAGACUUCCGACUGCAGAGGGGAAUGGAUGGGGGAGCUGAGGGAGGAGAGCUGAAGCAGGAAGACCAUGGCCUGGAAAGAGAUGGCUGAACCAGUCCAGGUGGCGAGGAGUCCAUGUCAGCUGCCGUCAUCCACACCACAGAUCAGACAUGGCAAAGAGUGGCCAGGCCUUCUGAGUGAAGGUGAUCCAACCUGUCACCAAGCCUAAGGGCAAAUCCUGGCUGUGCUGUGAUGGCUCCAACAACCCCAAACAGCAGCGCAGAGGCUGCAGCCGCCCUCGGAGGCAACACUGGGAAACGCUCAUUAGCAGCCUUCCAUUGCUCACCCGCCCCAUCCCACCUCUGUGCAUCCCAGAUCAUCAGCGAAGUGCACAGCUGGCUUCCAUCCUCGGAGCCUUCCUCCUUCAUUUGCCUAUUCAACAGUUACAAAGGCCUGAGUUGCAAAGGGGCUUACAACCCAUUCCACCCAGAAGAAAGAGAACUGAGACUGAGCAAGACAGAGAAUAGGUGGAAGGGGAGAUGAAACCAAGCAAUCUCUAGAUCCCAAAUGGGGACCCUGAUGUAGCAAGAGCCUCUUUUAAAUCCUUUUCCAAUAGGGUAAUAUGGAAAAUAGUUGAAAGCACAAGCCAAGUGGGGCUGGAAUCCCAAAUGGGCCAUUUACUAGCUGUGUGACUGGACAAGUAAUUUCAUAUUUCUGGGCCUCGAUUUUUCUCAUCUGUAAAAUAGAAAAAAAAAAACCUAUGUCAUAACGUUGAUAAACAGAUUAGAUGAGCUAAGAUCUAAAAUGUCUUCUAUUCAGUAGGUGCUCAAUAAAUGUUAUCUAUUUUUAAAAAAAAAAAAAAAAAA